rnacentral:rRNA from 1 species
UACGUAGGGUGCAAGCGUUAAUCGGAAUUACUGGGCGUAAAGCGUGCGCAGGCGGUUCGGAAAGAAAGAUGUGAAAUCCCAGGGCUCAACCUUGGAACUGCAUUUUUAACUACCGGGCUAGAGUGUGUCAGAGGGAGGUGGAAUUCCGCGUGUAGCAGUGAAAUGCGUAGAUAUGCGGAGGAACACCGAUGGCGAAGGCAGCCUCCUGGGAUAACACUGACGCUCAGGCACGAAAGCGUGGGGAGCAAACAGG